CCUGGUUGAUUCUGCCAGUAUUCAUAUGCUUGUCUCAAAGAUUAAGCCAUGCAUGUCUAAGUAUAAACAACUUUGUACUGUGAAACUGCGAAUGGCUCAUUAAAUCAGUUAUAGUUUAUUUGAUGGUUCUUGCUACAUGGAUAACUGUGGUAAUUCUAGAGCUAAUACAUGCAAUUAAGCCCCGACUUCUGGAAGGGGUGUAUUUAUUAGAUAAAAACCAUCCCCUUUGGGUCUUGGUGAAUCAUAAUAACUUCUCGGAUCGCAUGGCCUUGUGCCGGCGAUGCUUCAUUCAAAUAUCUGCCCUAUCAACUGUCGAUGGUAGGAUAGAGGCCUACCAUGGUUGCAACGGGUAACGGGGAAUUAGGGUUCGAUUCCGGAGAGGGAGCCUGAGAAACGGCUACCACAUCCAAGGAAGGCAGCAGGCGUGCAAAUUACCCAAUCCCGACACGGGGAGGUAGUGACAAUAUGUAACAAUAUACGGCUUUAUUGUCGUAUAAUUGGAAUGAGUACAAUUUAAAUCCCUUAACGAGGAACAAUUGGAGGGCAAGUCUGGUGCCAGCAGCCGCGGUAAUUCCAGCUCCAAUAGCGUAUAUUAAAGUUGUUGCAGUUAAAAAGCUCGUAGUUGGACCUUGGGCCUGGACAGGCGGUCCGCCUCACGGCGUGUACUGUCUUGCUGGGCCUUUCCUCUUGGUGAUCUGUGGUUUCGGCCGCAGGGAACCAGGACCUUUACUUUGAAAAAAUUAGAGUGUUCAAAGCAGGCUUUACGCCAGAAUAUAUUAGCAUGGAAUAAUAAAAUAGACGUGCGGUUCUAUUUUGUUGGUUUUUGGGAUCGCCGUAAUGAUUAAUAGGGACAGUCGGGGGCAUUAGUACUCACAUGCUAGAGGUGAAAUUCUUGGAUUUGUGAAGACUAACUUCUG
rnacentral:rRNA from 1 species